CCUUCGAUAGCUCAGUUGGAAGAGCGUGGGACUGUAACGGAUGCAUUCUAUCCCGAGGUCGCUGGUUCGAACCCGGCUCGAAGGA